CAAAGGCUUGGUCCUGACUUUACUAUCAACUUUAGCCAAACUUACACAUGCAAGUAUCCGCACCCCCGUGAGAAUGCCCCACAGUUCCCUGCCCGGGAACAAGGAGCUGGUAUCAGGCACAUUUAACUAUAAGCCCACGACACCUUGCUUAGCCACACCCUCAAGGGAACUCAGCAGUGAUAAACAUUAAGCCAUAAGUGAAAACUUGACUUAGUCAAGGCUAAGAGGGCCGGUAAAACUCGGNNCAGCCACNNNNCUCCUUGUUCCCGGGCAGGGAACUGGNGGGGCAUUCUCACGGGGGUGCGGAUACUUGCAUGUGUAAGUUUGGCUAAAGUUGAUAGUAAAGUCAGGACCAAGCCUUUGUGCUUACGGAACUUUCUAGGGCUCAUCUUAACAUCUUCAGUGUUAUGCUUUAAUUAAGCUACGUUAGCUUCAUGCAUUAUUUUAAUAGUGUAAAUANACACAUUUUGGGUUCNAAAACGUACUAUCAGAGGUUUUCCUGUUUCCGG
rnacentral:rRNA from 1 species